GUUUUAGUGUGAACUUUUUUUAUUCGUAUGAAUACUGUUUCCAGAGUAACCAAUUGCAAAAUACGAAAUGUCAUUAUUCUUUGUAAAUCUUCCCGCCAUUCAUUUUAAUUAACUUAUUAUCGUUGCAUAAUACGAAAAUCUGCACUAUUUAAUUCAAAGUGAUAUAUUCCUUACGGAAAUCUGUGCGCCUUAAUGUUAUUUCCGACAGCGAAUAGAACAAAAAUAUUUCAACAAAAGAUUGAAAAGCUUUCUAUUGUUAGUCACCAUAUGUGGAGAUCGAUUAAGAAUG
rnacentral:lncRNA from 1 species